rnacentral:lncRNA from 1 species
AUUUAAAAUGCAAAAGUGAAAGAGAGAACCUAGGUUGCCUCCUAGUAGCGCUUGUUUAACGCCACAGCCUGGCCCAAACAUGUUCUAGACUUCAUUAGUAAGUGUCUCCCAACACCUUUCAGUAGGUGUACCUUUCUGUACCCGUCAGUAGAUACCUAAAUCUUAUAGCCUCCCUUAGUAGAUGUUAUCCAAGUAGCAUUCAUCAAUAAACACCGUUAGUGACAUCCAUUAGUAAAUUUCUGACCAUAUAACAUCCAUCAGUAGAUGUUAAUCAUUACUGCCAUCAGAAGCAG